rnacentral:lncRNA from 1 species
AAAAAUAUCAAAAAUUUUAAUUCUUAAACGUCCGAAAAAUAUAAAAAUCAAGGAAAAUACAUAAAAAUACGUUAAAAAAAUCCAGAAUCGCACCAGUCAACUUAUAAUAUCGAUACAAAUAGAAUAUCAAAAUUUCAAAUUUUUUCGUGACUGCCCAAAAAAUAUAAAAAAUAUUAAUUCGUAAACGUCGAAAAAAGAUAAAAAUCAAGAAAAGGACAUUAAAACAUCUCAAAAAAUUCCUGAAUCACACCAGUCACCUUUGAAUAUUGAAAUUUUUUUCGUGACUGCCCAAAAUAUAUCAAAAAUUUAAAUUUGUCAAUGUCUGAAAAAUAUAAAAAUCAAGAAAAAUAUACAAAAACACCUCAAAAAGUUUCUGAAUCGCACCAGUCAACUUAGAAUAUCGUUACAAAUAGAAUAUCAAAAUUAACCAUUUUUUCGUGACUUCCUGAAAAAUAUAAAAAUCAAGAAAAGAACAUAAAAACACCUCAAUUAAUUCUCGAAUCGUACCAAUUACUUUGGAAUACCGAUACUAAUAAUAUAUCAAAUUUUCACAUUUUUUUGUCAUUACCCAAAAAAUAUCAAAAAUUUUAAUUCGUAAACAUUUGAAAAAUAUAGAAAUCAAGAUAA